AAACUUCCAAAAUCUACUAACUUUUUUGCUUUCUUUUAAUUUCCGACGAACAAUUUUGUAAAAGGUCCUUUUCAAAUGUUACGCGUGUUUACGUUUGCACCAACAAAGGAUGAGAAGCCGGGCGAAAAGUUGUGGCAUAAAAUUCCUUAAUUUUCGUAAAACUGUAAGCUGUUUUCUAUCAAGGAUGUUUCUAUUACUGCGUUCGGGCAACAAUCGAGCCAUGGACCACAGAAGACGGACUCUCGGACUAGCUUUGGAGGUUGUCCGAAAUGGCACACGGAUGUUUUGGCUGACGCACUAGCAGUUAAGGAAUAUUGAAAGUCCCAGGGGAUUCCAGCGGAGUGGAAACACGAAUUACUCCACACUUCCGACAUCCCGACCUCCCACUUCCACCGAGCUUCCGCACCGCAACACAUACUCAUUUUGUUGGGAUUGUGUCAUCGAAAAUUUGUUAGGUGCAUCAAAAACCAUGGGAAGCGGUUCCGAAGCAAGCAGGAAGGAAACGGAUCCUGGAUCAGAUUGACCUCAGAACUCAUGACCCUCUCUUUCCCGCAGCACGGUAUGCGGAUGCGAAGAACGCCGGAUGAAAUAUAAAGCUGUGACGAAACAAAUGGGCUUACGGGCUCGAAUCGAUUCGGUCCCGGAAAUUGUUGGGCUGUUGGUUAUCAGAAGUCGACGGAAGUAUACCUUCAUUCAGAUUUAAAACAAAUCUAGUUUUUUAAUUUAACAUUUAAAUCAUAAUGAGCGUGAAAUUUCUAGUGAAACCUUUUAACGACAUUAAGGCUCAAGCAUCCGUCAUCAUUUUUCGGAAAAUAAAAAGCAGUUUUCUCGCCGCAAAUCAAAUCUAGGAUCAUGAAAAUAUAUUCACUGCAUUAUAUUCCUCAUGUGGAGUACAGUGAAUAUAUUUUCAUAGCAAAAACUUUUGUUUUGAACGAAAAAACUGCUUUCAAAUUUUUGAUGAUGACGAUGAUUUCAAUGACGAAAAGUUCAACGUUAAGUC